AAACACACUAUGAGGAACUAUUUCAGGAUGGGGACUAUAGGUAUCACACUUCUUUGUGUUGUUAGCUCCAUAUAUAUGUUUAGAUGUCAGCGACAGAUGGUAUUUCACAACACUGUAAGUUAGAAGUAUGUGGAAGGUUACACCUUUUCAUUUUCUUUCAAAUAGAAGGAUCCUUGGCAUCUGCAUUUCCUUUCCAUAUUUCAGGUUUAGAUACAUCAAAGUCCCAUGUCCUUCUCAAAACUGUUCAGGACUUCAGUUGGACCUUUAAAAUGUUGAAGAUUUAUUCAUAUUUUUUAGGCAAGUGGGUAUUUCAUGGGCAAUUUUUGAAGAUUCUUGUAGUAUACUGGUGUGCAAAGAUUGCUGUGACUACAUUUAAUUUUCUACAUCGAUAUAUGAUUUUGGUCUCUUUUUCAGGAGGAUGUUUUCACCAGGUUACAAGCAGUGUGAGGAAAUUGAACUGGUAUUUAUAGUGAUAUGGACAAAAGAUUCCUAAAUCUUAUUAAAACCUAUUUAAAAAGCACAGGAAAUACCAUCUCUUCUCUGGACUUCAAAAGUCUUUCGAAUUAACCUCUAUGUAUUUCUAAUCCUGGAGUGUGAUAAAUGCCAUUGAACUUGUGGCUGCAUUGUGGCUGUAAGGAAUCUCAAAAAAUAACUGUUGUGAUGGCCUGACAAUCCAGAAUGCAUCCAUCUUACCCAGUUAAGAAGAAAGCAGCUCUGGAGCUGACUCAAAUCAGAAGUUAAGGAAGCUACAAUCAUCAUCAGAAGCUACAACAUUUAAGAGAUGAGAAAAGAAACAUCUCACGCAGAGAUGAUGAAAAGACCCAAUGAAGAGAGGAAGGACCCCUGACUCCAAUAUUACCAUUGAUCCAGAUUCCUGUGUGAUGGCUGGGGAACUUCAAUUUAAGGCUAUACAUAUGCACACCUCAAAACUGGGCAAGAAGCAAAGGCACAUUACUCUGAAACUCUGGGUUUCUGACCCUGUGAAACUUAAAUCUAACCAUGUGAACAGACAGCAUUUGUGCAGCUGCUGCAUCAACUAGAUCUACAAUAAUCCAGUGUACCCAAGAACUUGGGCUGUAAGACAGAAAAAAUUUAGAUACGAACAAAUAUAGCUACCACUCCUGGUUCCAGUGGUGUUCUGCUGAUAGAAAUCCCAAGAGGAGGUAAAAUCAUCUGGGAAACCUAAAAUUUUCAAGCAAGUUCCUAAAGAAUGUUGGAAGGGUAACCACAAUACCAGAGUAAAAGAGAAAGAUGCACUGGAAAGAUGCAAUGAAUCCUUCCAGGAGUCUUCUCCAUGCUGGACCAAACCAUGUCUCUCAGCCUGUCUUCAUAGGAGAGGUGUUCCAGCCCUCCGAUCCUUUUCAUGGCCAUUCUCUGGAUCCAGUCUAACAGGUCCAUGCAUUUCUUGGGCUGAGGACUCCAGAGCUGGGGAUGCAGCACUCCAGGUGGCAUCUCAUGAGGGUAGAGAAGGAGAAUCACAUCCCUCGACCUUCUGGCCACACUGCUUUUGAUGCCGCCAAGGAUGUGAUUUGCCUUCUGGGCUAUGUGUGCACGUUGUUCGCUGAAGUCCAGCCCUUCAUCCACAAGAACUCCCAAGUCCUUCUCUGCUGCUGUCAAGGUGUUCUUCUGCCAGUCUGGCAUUCUCUAGACCAGUAAGUUAUGCUCUCUCUUGAGCUAUCUUUCCCUCCACCUGAGAUACCUAUGCCAUAUAAGUUUUUCUAAGUUUGGCAAUCUGUUCACAUAAUUUUUAAGUUAAAUGUCUCACCAAAUGGGGGUUUAAUGUGUUAGAAGCUUUCUGGAUCAAGACCUAUAAACAAGAGAAUACUGAAGGUUCUUUUCACUUGCCCUUCCGUGAAGUUUUCAAUGAGAGUCCUGUCACAACACUAAGUCACAGAGAACCAACACCUAUUUCAAGGACUAAUAGGCAGUUCUACUGGAUGACCACAAUUUUAGACAUGGGACACUACAGUGGAAUGUAACACCAAGUCACUGUUGUGUACAUGUGUUUAUAUGUACUGUACAUGUGUUUAUAUAUGAAAUGAAAGAGCCAGCCAUUUUAAAAAAGCACAAAAAAACCACCAACAAAACAACCCCUUGACUUUUGAAAUUAACUUCAAACUGUGAAACAUACUACUAAAACAUGGAUAUAAAUAACAAUAAGUAAAUAACCUCUAGCCCUGAGAAUAUGACUUUAUUCUAUCAGGCCGUGUAGCAGUGCACAACUAAUGGAAAUGCCGUUAGUCAGCUCAGAGUUCACUUCAAUAAAUGGUAGGUCACCCAGAAUUUGUUCCCUAUUGGUUCUUGGUUUCUAUUAAAAUAAUGUAAUUUCUCUAAUUCAGUUGCUGGCUAAUGGGGGUCUCAACUUCUAAAAUGUAACCUUGACAAAAUAGAUCAUCCUCCAAGUUUCUUUCAUCUGAUAUAAUCAAACAUGAAAAAAGGAUGCAACUGUUUUUGUCCUGUCUUCUAAUUUUAAAGCAAGAUUUUCCCUAUUGUCUCAGAAGGUGAAAGCAAUUUCAUGUACAGGGUUAUUUCGAUGAUGUAUGAGACACUGUGCAAAAAUGCUAUGCAAUUCUGUGUGUGAGAAAUGCACUGCAAUAUUUUAAGUAAUGCAACUUAGGGCUUAGAAUUUCUGUUUCUCCUUAGAAACAAAGGGCUUUUAUAGUUAAAAUUUUCUCAAGUAUUUAAUCUAGGAGUCUCUCAAAAAAGAUGUGAACACUUUUUUUUCUUAGAAAAUAAGAGUAGUAAAUAAAAUUAUUUUUAUUGUCAGAAUAAAAUGUAAAAUACUUUAUAUGCUUAAUCUGUCAUCCUUAUCCUUACUAAAGAGAAACUUUUUCUCCAAGGAAUGGAAUUGGUCUCAACCCUUUCACAGUCUGUUAAAAUGGUUUGGAUAUGUUUCAUCUAACUUUUAGUACUAUAAUGGAAUAUUUGAGAUAAGAAUGUGGUUUUCAUAACCUCACAAUUGGGUAUAUGGAAAAAAUUAAUUUUUACUUAUCUGAACUAUCCUUCACAACUCACCACUUCCCGAAAAAAAGUAUAGUUACAAUAUAAGUGCCUCAUUUAUGAGCCUCAAAUUAGGUGGAUUAAAUCCAGAUCAAAAUAG